rnacentral:rRNA from 1 species
AUGCGCCAACAGUUUACGUCUUCUAAUCCUGGUGGCGCCUUCAAACCACUCCGUUGCGCCGUCGUGCGUGAGCUGCUGUCUCCCGCGACUGGAUCGCGCCGUCGCCCUGCUCGCAUCGCCUCUCCGUCCCCUGGUCGCGGCGCCGGCAUCCAGGCCUUCAUCUCCGACGAGCGCCUGCCUGCCUUCGGCCGGUCGUCGUCCUCCCCUGAGAUCCGCCCCCACGUACCCCGCCCGAGUUCGCCGCGGACCUGCCGCUCCGCGCCCGAACUCGCCGAUCCCGGCUAUCGUUCCCAUGGGAGGAGUCUGAUGGAAAACAGUACAUCUGAUCAAUUUGUUAACGGCAGUUGUCACCGGAGCCGUCAGAAUGACAACAAUGGCACUGAUUGUUCGGGAGAAUCACAUGGCGAUCCGAUGCGGAAGCUACACCAGCUUGUCAAAGAACACGGCGCACUCUGUCGAGCAUUUCUCCACGAAGCAUCAUCCUCUGCAACUGCAAUGCAUCAUCAGCAGCAGUCCGAACACCUCGUGCGCAAGCUCGGAUCGAUCUGGUACCAUCCGGAGUGGGCAGCUCGCGUGCAAGAUCUCCAGUGUUUAUUCUCCUACUCCGAGUUCAGGCAUGAUGUGCUGGAAAUUGUUGAGUUCUUCGAGAAGGAGCUCGGAAAGUGCAGGGAUGAGCUCCAAACAGGUCAAGCAAUAAGCUAUUCAGCCUUAACCAACCUCCUGCCGCUGAUCGUUCCUUUGGUCUUGAAGCUGCUUCGAGCUGUACAUGCCCUAUGGAUAUCGUACGCGGAGGAUGCAAUGGCAAAUUUGCCAGAAGAACUCGUAGAAACUGCCAGAAUCAUGCAGAACCCUGCUCAGAUCUCUCGUCUCCUCAUAGAAAUCGGGGAACUGUAG